AUGAAGGUAAAUCCGUUUAUAUAUUUUGUUAAGUGUAUGAAAAGUUUAUUACGUGAGAUUGAAUCUGAAUUGUUAAUCCUAAAAGUUAGUUACAAAAAUUGGAGACCUGGGAUUUGUUUAAAAUUCUGUUAUUAUCAUUUCCAUGGUUUCCACCCUUUUCAUCUGAUAUUUCUGGUUUCUGGAAUUUUGUUUUAUUUCUCUGAAUAA